rnacentral:rRNA from 1 species
GAGUUUGAUCCUGGCUCAGGACGAACGCUGGCGGCGUGCUUAACACAUGCGAGUCGUACGAACGGAGGAGAGCUUGCUCUCCGAUGUUAGUGGCGAACGGGUGAGGAACACGUGAGCAACCUGCCCUCAGGUGGGGGAUAGCCGGCCCAACGGCCGGGUAAUACCGCGUAUUGCAUCGGGAUCGCAUGGUCCUGAUGUGAAAGCGGCCGCAAGGUCGCGCCGGAGGAGGGGCUCGCGACGUAGCAGCUUGUUGGUGGGGUAACGGCCUACCAAGGCUACGACGCGUAGCUGGUCUGAGAGGAUGAUCAGCCACAUUGGGACUGAGAUACGGCCCAGACUCCUACGGGAGGCAGCAGUGGGGAAUAUUGCGCAAUGGCCGCAAGGCUGACGCAGCGACGCCGUGUGUGGGAUGAAGGCCUUCGGGUUGUAAACCACUGUCAGGAGGGACGAAUACUCGGCUUCAAAUAGUUGACCGAGGGUGACGGUACCUCCAAAGGAAGCACCGGCUAACUCAGUGCCAGCAGCCGCGGUAAUACUGAGGGUGCUAGCGUUGUCCGGAAUCACUGGGCGUAAAGCGCGCGUAGGCGGUCCUGUAAGUCGUUUGUGAAAUCCCGGGGCUCAACCCCGGCGCUGCAGGCGAUACUGCAAGACUAGAGCUCGGUAGAGGCAAGUGGGAAUUCCCGGUGGAAGCGGUGGGAAUGCGUAGAUAUUCGGGAAGACCACCCGUGGCUGAGGGCGGCUUGCUGGGCCGAUGCUGACGAUGAGGUGCGAAAGCGUGGGGAGCAAACAGGAUUAGAUACCAUGGUAGUCCACGCCGUAAACGAUGGGUACUAGGCGCUGGGGGGAGCGACCCCUUCGGUGCCGUCGCUAACGCAAUAAGUACCCCGCCUGGGGAGUACGGCCGCAAGGCUGAAACUCCAAGGAAUUGACGGGGGCCCGCACAAGCGGUGGAGCAUGUGGUUUAAUUCGAUGCAACGCGAAGAACCUUACCUGGGCUUGACAUGUUCGUGAAAGCCGGUGGAAACAUCGGCCCCUCUUCGGAGCUCGAUCACAGGUGCUGCAUGGCUGUCGUCAGCUCGUGUCGUGAGAUGUUGGGUUAAGUCCCGCAACGAGCGCAACCCUCGCUCCCAGUUGCCAGCGGUUCGGCCGGGGACUCUGGGGGACUGCCGGUGUCAAACCGGAGGAAGGUGGGGAUGACGUCAAGUCCUCAUGGCCCUUACGCCCAGGGCUACACACGUGCUACAAUGGCCGGUACAACGCGUCGCCAACUCGCGAGAGUGCGCUAAUCGCUAAAAGCCGGUCUAAGUUCGGAUUGCAGUCUGUAACUCGACUGCAUGAAGUCGGAAUCGCUAGUAAUCGCGGAUCAGGUACGCCGCGGUGAAUACGUUCCCGGGCCUUGUACACACCGCCCGUCACGCCAUGGAAGCUGGGGGGACCCGAAGCCGGUGGGCUAACCUUCGGGAGGCAGCCGUCUAAGGUCAACUCAGUGACUGGGGCGAAGUCGUAACAAGGUAACC